AUCACCUGCCCAGAGCCCUCCUGGGUUACCUUGGUACUCUGUUUCUCCUUCAUGAUGAUCCGGGACAGGAGGACCACCCAGAUGGGCAUGGUGGCCUUGACUGCAGAGAAAGGUAUACCAAGAAUGAUGGGCCAUGGAAACUGAAAAUGCAACAGUGCAACCAAGGAAGGAAAGAUGAGAAGACAGAGGCAAAAAGAAGCAGAAGGGCUUGCUGAGGCCAAACGAGAAUCUGAAGCCAUACCCUAAAGCCAUGCCCAUCUGACACUGAUGGGA